rnacentral:tRNA from 1 species
CCUCUCGUGGUGUAGCGGUAACGCGCCUGUCUAGUGAGUAGGAGCCGUAAGUUCAAGUCUAACAGAGAGGA